rnacentral:lncRNA from 1 species
UGGGUGAGUCUUUUAUCAUUUCCUUUGUUUUUGAGGCAGAGGUGGUAGUAUUUAGAUUUCUGAUUGCAUAGGGGUUGGUGCCCAUAAUGGCUUUGUUCUUCGAGGGUUACCUGUAAUGCAAAAAAUAAAGUCAUAUUAACAUCAUUUUCUGACCUUUUGACUUUUUCUUCUUUCCAAUGAAACCUAUAGGUUAUAGUUAGACCAGUGAUUCAUGUUUAUGACAACUACCCAAAUCACUUCCUCGAAAGGGGAAGAAUCAAAGAGAUGGAUGUUCACGUCUCAGAAAGAACCAUCAUAUCAGAGAUUUGCUGCAGAAAAUUCAGAUGUUAACAUGUAAUACAGAGGGCCUGCAAAAUGCUUAAUACGAAUAGUGGGUAAUGUAAACCCAUGUGUAAACAUUCCUGGUAUAAAGCUUGUAUUCUGAAAUGGUUUCCUGUUACUAACUUUAAGUGUAUUAAUGAAAUAAACAGUCAUUAUGAUUGUAAACUUGCCCCUGCUGUGAACUAAUCUAUAACAUACUCACACAAUAAUUUAAAAUCUGAAACAGUGGAAUAUAUUGUCAUGAAACUGAAAGAUUUACCUAGUGGAACAAGCAUUUAUCAGCUAAAGUGUUUAUAAGACUUGCCUUUGCAAACUCUGUUAAGUUCAAUUUUUGUAUGUGAGUUUAAAAUUUAUUCUUUAGAAAUUAGAACUGUCUUUUUGUCACUUUUAUCCUCUUUGGGCUAGAUCUGAAUACAAAUAUGAUUUUACACAGAUUUCUUAGAUAAAUAUGUGUUUAGGAAACUAUGGAAAAUUUUUUAGUGUUCUGAUCAAGUCAGUACUGUAAGGGAAGAGACUUCUAAAUGGAAUUAAAAGUAUGAAGAGAAAUAUAAUAGACGACAGUCAAGUAGUGGCUGAAAUGCAUUAGUUCUCUUUAUUGUAGAGUGCUUGGAAGGGAAAGAAUUAGAAAUAGCUGUGGACCAGCUCCAUCCUUUCAAGGACCAACAGGCAGGUUUCAGAGGGCCUCCGAAGACUCCUGUUCACCCAGCUUGGCCCAGGGCCCGUGGCCCGUGUUGCCUGGCCUGUGGGCUUGUCAUCCCUCAGAAGAGUCGCAUCCCACCCAACACAGUGAACUGGCCUCUGCUGAGCCUCCAGAGCACCCUGGCCAGCUUCUCCAGGGUGUCUGACUUGACACAAUUCUGAGGGGGUCGGAGUUGUACUGGCUUUAUCCUUAGAUGUCUUUUCACUUCAGCUCUCGGGCUGUUGAAUGCUAGAUAUGAGGGCAUAUGCGUGUGAGUAGGGAAGACUGGUAUAUGAUUCCUGGAAAUAAAAUAGAACUGUCCUGAAAAACACAAAGGUGCUUUUGAUAUCUUUUUAUCUACUUUCAGAUUAUUAAUAAUGCAGCAUUAUUUCUGUAAGGAGAAGCUUGAUGCAGUUAGUAUAGUCCUACAUCCAGGACCAGGAAAAAAGGGGAGAAAAAACCCUAUUCAUUCUAAUUGGCUACAAUCUUUAUUCCUUCAUGUGUAUUCUCUCUGACAUAGUCCAGUAUUUGAAUAUAGAAUGCGCAGAAACCAGUUACUUGCGAAAGAGGAAUACACGGACUUUUUUGGAAUACAAGAUUGAUAUUAAAAUACUAAAAAACUUAAGUAUUAAAAAAAAUAAAAGCAAUUUUGAAUUGGCUUGUUUUAAAUGAUGUUUUGUGGAGCUCAGUGGGUUAAGAAUUGAUGUCUCUCUGAGGAUAUGGGUUCGAUCCCUGACCUUGCUCAAUGGGUUAAGGAUCUGGCUUUACCGAAAGUUGUGGUGUAGGUCGCAGAUGCGGCAUGGAUCCGGCGUUGCUGUGGCUGUGGUGUAGGCCAGCAGCUGCAGCUCUCAUUCGACCCCUAGCCUGGAACUUUCAUGUGCUGCAGGUGCAGCCCUAAAAAGACAAAAAGUAAAAUUAAAUUUUAAAAACUGAUGUUUUGUUUGCUACAUAUACUUUUAUUUUCAUGUGCUUGUAAUAAUACCACAUUUAUAAAUAAGAGAUGAUAUCUAUUCUUAAAAAAAUAAUUCUUGACCUUGUCCCUUGGUUUGACCUUUUCGUACCUUCAUCUUGAAAGGAGCGACCGCUCGUUGUGAGAUCUUGUGCCACAGUUGUGAGAGUCUCUGAAGACAAGUCCUUAGAGCACUGACUCUUAAAAGGCACAGGUGUCUCCCCCCGCCCCAACCACUCACACGCAUGCUCAGACAUGCACUCACACUGCUGUCACUGAAUCAUGUUUCAGGCGUGCUGGGUGUUUUACAAAACCUGUUGAAGAUUUAAAUGCUAGCCUGGGCCAAUUACAAAUAGCACAGUUGCCUAAGGAAGGGCUGGGAACAAGUAGGUAAGAAUUGUUGGUAUUAUUGAAGAAGAAAGAAAGGAGGAGCUAAUUUUUAGUUUUCCUGAAAGAUUGGGAGAACAAAGCAAAUGGUCCCAUUCUGACUGGGUUAUGUAAAAUCAGCUGAGUGUAGCCGGGAAGAAGGGGGUGUGGUACCCCAUUGCUUCAUUUUUUAAUUUACAUAUUGUAUUUGAAUUUGAUUUAGGUCAGAAAUUUUGAGAAAGUAAUUCUCAUGUCUUAUUUGUGCAGGACUCAUACUAAUAUUUCACCAAUUUUCUUCUAGCAAUUGAGGAAACCCAAUAGGGCAAGGCUGUGUUUUCCCCAUGCUUGCAUGAUGAAAGCAGUGUACCGUUAAUAAGUGACAAAGUUGAGACUAGUGGUCUGGUCUACUGAUGUAAAAUUUGUUGCCUCUAAGAAAAGUUUAAGUGGCACUUGGGACAUUGAUGGUAUAAGUUAGAGGGAUUUGGAGGUUCAGGUGAGAGGUUCUUCCUCCUCCCAGAAGUUUGUUUUGUGCAAGUAACCUUACAAACACUGGUAAGGAUGAGGGUCAAAGAAGUCUGCUUUGUACUUACAAAUGUCAGUAAUUUAAACUGGGGCAGAAGGAUGCCUGUGUGUGCAGUGAAGGGGGAGGAAAAUAUGUUUUUCUCCCUCUCUUAACUCCUCUCCCUCCUCUCCUCCUUGUCCUCCUCCUCUCCUUAAAAAUAAAUAUUAACCUGUAAUUAACUAGCUGCUAGCUCAGCAAGCUCAGGUACGUGGCUCAUACCAGUUGAAUAGUGCACUUGAGCCAUGUUUGUUUCCAAACCCGUUUGUGCCAGGUGUACUUUUACUAUCAGUAUAUAAUUUAAUUAAAUGUUAUCUAAGUGUUUAAGGCAUGAGUGGGAAAAGAAAAUAUAUCUAUAAAAACUAAAUUGAACUAUUUGGAAAGACUUAAAAGGCAAUGAAAUUAAACUAUCAUUUUAAGUGUGGGAGAGUCCAUUGCAAAAAGGGGAAUUUUCGUUUAAGUAUUUAGAAGCAUUCUGCCCUUAGAUUUCUUCUGGAGUGCCUCUGUAUUCCAGCUCCAUUUAAGGAUGAAUAUCAGAAUUGGCAUAUUAGGGUUUACGCAAGUAAGGUGGCCACAGUUUCCUAUGCAGGAAUUCUUACUCAGGGAAAGACCUUAGCCUGGCCAAGGAUGAUAGCAGGGGGCCAGCUCUCAAAGUGGACUUGGCAUGGUGUCACAAUGCACAGGAGGAGGAAAGAGACAGAAUCUUUAACAUGUGUCUUUAAAUAAUGGCUUUCUGCUUUAACUGACCUAGUUAAAAAUUAACUGACCAAAUGACUAGUGAUCACAUUAAGACAGUUUCUGCACAGUCAGACCAACCCCAGACUAUCACAGCGUGUAUUGUAACCUAUGAAAGUGGUCAGUUUCCUUUUUAUUUCAAUCACACCUGUGCAGUGAACUAGAGGACCAGGUGGACUGGCUGUCAUGGAGGCUGGCAGUGACUUGUUGGCGUUGUGUCCUCUGGCUAACCUGGCUGACCAGUAAACCUUGCUGUUCAUGAUGAGAUGAACCUUCAGGCCUUAAGGAAGGAAAUGCCACUGGUCACCUAGGCAGGGCCACUGGAGGCUGUGUCUCAUAGCUCACUUCACAGACAGGGACACUGAGGCUGGGGAGCCAAGUCUCACAGGUGUUUGCCAUCUCAACAGGUGUUUCCUUACCUCCUGUUUUCUGAAAGCCUCAGGGUGAUUUGGGAAUACAGGUUUAACCUGACUGACACACAGCUUUUUGGAAAAGCUUAUGAAUAAUCUAUUAUUUAACAUCUGCAUCUGCCAUAUCUUCACUAGCAAGCUUGGGAGAACACAGCAGAAGGAAUGAAAACCUAUUCUAAUACAAAUCAGAAAUCAAUCCUAUUGUCGCUUUAUUUCACGUAAUUAUCUUUUAGUGAAUAGAUUAAACUGAGUGUUAUAUUUUACUUUGAUGAUGAAGGACCUCAUUGAUUUGUCUGUGACAUCAGUCGAUGUAUGUGUAUAGACAAGGGAAUAUCCUAUCUCAAGGCAAAGGAAACCCUUUAGGUAAUUAAACACAUCCUAUCUUAGAUCAUUUUGCUUCUUCACUCAUUGAUUUUGAAUCAACAGUAAGAUGGGUUUUUUCUUUUACAUUAAAGGAAUUAAUUUGUUAUCAGAGUUCCUGUUGUGGCUCAGCAGGUUAAGAACCCAACAUAAUAUCCAUGAGGAUGUGGGUUCAAUCUCUGGUUGCUCAGUGGGUUAAGAAUCUGGUGUUGCCCACAAAGCUGUGGCAUAGGUUGCAGAUGUGGCUCGGAUCCUGUGUGGCUGUGGCAUAGGUUGGCAGCUGCAGCUCCGAUUACAUCCCUAGCCUGGGAACCUCCAUAUGCCACAGGUGC